rnacentral:rRNA from 1 species
AACGAACGCUGGCGGCAGGCCUAACACAUGCAAGUCGAACGCCGUAGCAAUACGGAGUGGCAGACGGGUGAGUAACGCGUGGGAACAUACCCUUCGGUUCGGAAUAACUCAGGGAAACUUGUGCUAAUACCGGAUACGUCCGAGGUAAAACUUGGAGAAAGAUUUAUCGCCGGAGGAUUGGCCCGCGUCUGAUUAGCUUGUUGGUGAGGUAAUGGCUCACCAAGGCGACGAUCAGUAGCUGGUCUGAGAGGAUGAUC